GGCCUCAGGAUGAACGCUGGCGGCGCUGCCUAAUACAUGCAAGUCGAGCGAAUGGAUUAAGAGCUUGCUCUUAAGAAGUUAGCGGCGGACGGGUGAGUAACACGUGGGUAACCUGCCUAUAAGACUGGGAUAACUCCGGGAAACCGGGGCUAAUACCGGAUAACAUUUUGCACCGCAUGGUGCGGAAUUGAAAGGCGGCUUCGGCUGUCACUUAUAGAUGGACCUGCGGCGCAUUAGCUAGUUGGUGAGGUAACGGCUCACCAAGGCGGCGAUGCGUAGCCGACCUGAGAGGGUGAUCGGCCACACUGGGACUGAGACACGGCCCAGACUCCUACGGGAGGCAGCAGUAGGGAAUCUUCCGCAAUGGACGAAAGUCUGACGGAGCAACGCCGCGUGAGUGAUGAAGGCUUUCGGGUCGUAAAGUUCUGUUGUUAGGGAAGAACAAGUAUGAGAGUAACUGCUCGUACCUUGACGGUACCCAACCAGAAAGCCACGGCUAACUACGUGCCAGCAGCCGCGGUAAUACGUAGGUGGCAAGCGUUAUCCGGAAUUAUUGGGCGUAAAGCGCGCGCAGGUGGUUUCUUAAGUCUGAUGUGAAAGCCCACGGCUCAACCGUGGAGGGUCAUUGGAAACUGGGAGACUUGAGUGCAGAAGAGGAAAGUGGAAUUCCAUGUGUAGCGGUGAAAUGCGUAGAGAUAUGGAGGAACACCAGUGGCGAAGGCGACUUUCUGGUCUGUAACUGACACUGAGGCGCGAAAGCGUGGGGAAGCAAACAGGAUUAGAUACCCUGGUAGUCCACGCCGUAAACGAUGAGUGCUAAGUGUUAGAGGGUUUCCCCC
rnacentral:rRNA from 1 species